AACGAACGCUGGCGGCAGGCUUAACACAUGCAAGUCGAACGGGUGCAGCAAUGCAUCAGUGGCAGACGGGUGAGUAACACGUGGGAACCUUCCUAGGGGUACGGAACAACUCAGGGAAACUUGAGCUAAUACCGUAUACGUCCGUGAGGAGACGGAUUUAUCGCCCUUAGACGGGCCCGCGUCGGAUUAGCUAGUUGGUGGGGUAACGGCCUACCAAGGCGACGAUCCGUAGCUGAUCUUAGAGGAUGAUCAGCCACACUGGGACUGAGACACGGCCCAGACUCCUACGGGAGGCAGCAGUGGGGAAUCUUGGACAAUGGGCGCAAGCCUGAUCCAGCCAUGCCGCGUGAGUGAAGAAGGUCUUCGGAUUGUAAAGCUCUUUUGCCAGGGACGAUAAUGACGGUACCUGGAGAAUAAGCCCCGGCAAACUUCGUGCCAGCAGCCGCCGUAACAC
rnacentral:rRNA from 1 species